rnacentral:rRNA from 1 species
GUGAACGCUGGCGGUAGGCCUAACACAUGCAAGUCGAACGGCAGCACAGUAAGAGCUUGCUCUUACGGGUGGCGAGUGGCGGACGGGUGAGGAAUACAUCGGAAUCUACUUUUUCGUGGGGGAUAACGUAGGGAAACUUACGCUAAUACCGCAUACGACCUACGGGUGAAAGCAGUGGAUCUUCGGACCUUUCGCGAUUGAAUGAGCCGAUGUCGGAUUAGCUAGUUGGCGGGGUAAAGGCCCACCAAGGCGACGAUCCGUAGCUGGUCUGAGAGGAUGAUCAGCCACACUGGAACUGAGACACGGUCCAGACUCCUACGGGAGGCAGCAGUAGGGAAUAUUGGACAAUGGGCGCAAGCCUGAUCCAGCCAUACCGCGUGGGUGAAGAAGGCCUUCGGGUUGUAAAGCCCUUUUGUUGGGAAAGAAAAGAAGCAGGUUAAUACCCCGCUGUUCUGACGGUACCCAAAGAAUAAGCACCGGCUAACUUCGUG